rnacentral:rRNA from 1 species
UACAGAGGUCUCGAGCGUUAGGCGGAAUCACUGGGCUUAAAGCGUGUGUAGGCGGAUUGCUAAGUACCUUGUGAAAUCCCACGGCUUAACCGUGGAACUGCUUGGUAUACUGGCUGUCUUGAGCCACUUAGGGGCGACCGGAACAAACGGUGGAGCGGUGAAAUGCGUAGAUAUCGUUUGGAACGCCAAAGGUGAAAACAGGUCGCUGGGAGUGUGCUGACGCUGAUACACGGAAAGCCAGGGGAGCAAACGGG